GAAUGAACUGAGCUACCUCUCUAUUGCCUAUUGAUCACCGGCAUAGAUUUGACUGUUCUGGCUGGCUGGGCAGGUAUCCCCUUCCUCCCUCACCACUUCAUGUGUGUCCCUUUGGAAGCUAUGUACUGGGUCAAAGAGAACAACCUCCUUCAUCGAGAAGAACUUUCCAGCACUCCACUAAAACUCGCAGACAAGCUCUCAAAACAGCCGACAAUAGAGUGGGUGUGGGAGUGUGAAAACAAUCAUCGUUUCUGAAGACAACUUGUUUUAUUGU
rnacentral:sRNA from 14 species